AUGGAAAAGGGAGGACUUGGACGUUCUCCAAGAGGUUUGGAGUUUAAAAAGGAUUAUUUAAAAAUGAAUCAAGUUCAUUUAAAUGUGUUUAAUGUGGUUUUGGAGCAGAAAAAUGAAAAGCUGGAAAAAAAAGCUGAACUGAUCCAGAAGAGCCUUGACACAUGUCAGCGUCAGCUGCAGGAGCUGAACAAGGAGAAAGUCACAAACUCAAAACUGAUCUCAGAUCUGGAGGCAGAGCGCUCUCAGCUGAUCAGAGAGAAAGAGGAGCUGCUGACCAAAAUAAACCAAUGUGCACAAGAAACGGAGGAAAAGAGCUGCCAGCACAGGAAAUCCUUGGAAGUUUUAGAGUUAGAAGUUCAGAAAGUGCACGAUCAGUGUUCGGUUUUAGAGGCUGGAGUCAAAGACAAGGAGAGGAUGCUGCACCUUCAGGAGGAGGAGUUUAACAAACAAGAUGACAUGAGGGUCAGAUGCAUUGAUGAGCUGAAAGCUGUGGCUUCACACUGGACUGAGAAGUGGCAAAACGCGGCUCUGACCCUUCAGGCCACACAGAACCAAUUAGAAGAACUCACAAGGAGGACUUCUGCAGAUCAAAUGGAGUCUGGCUCAGAGCUGAGGGCUGAGCUUCAAAACAACAAACCAGAGCUGGAGCAGGAACCAAGCAGGGCUCAGAGCCAUCAGGCACAAGGAGUCCAGAGGCUUCAGACUAUCCCAAAAGAGACAGACUUAUCAAAAUCCUAUUUGGUGUGUGAGCAUCCACCAGAGCCCCAGUUUGACCAAAACACACAGGCGUGGACACAAAACGACCAGGUGCAAAGUCUGAGACAGAAACUAGCAGAAAAGGAGAAGGAAAUGACUGAAAGAGAACAAGCCUUUAGGAGUUUAGAAAAAAUGAGAGAGAUGGAAAAAACUGAAGCUCAGAUCAAGAUUUCUACUCUGCAGCUGCAGCUGAUGAAAAAAGUGUCUGAAGAGGGCAAAGAUGAUGGAGACCUGCAGUCAGAUGUGUUGGACCCUGCCUCACUGCAGCCAGAUGAGCAUGGGAGGAACACGGACCUGCUAGCUGCUGAGAUGCAUCUGAAACAACAGCCCUACCUGGAUAAAGAGGAGAAAUUAUCAGCUGAAGACAGGAAGGAUAAGCUGAUCUGUACGGUUGAUCCAGAGAUGGAGCAGCGAAGACGAAUGAUCACAGAGCAGUUAAAGAGUCUGUUUAAGCAGCGAGAAGGAAAAGAGGAUGGUCAGGUGCUGGACACAUCAGCUCAAACUGGAGCCACCUCACCCCAAGACUGGACUCCAUCUUUGUUUGUAAGGGCAGGAUGGGACAGGAGAAACUGGCAUCACAGCUCAGGACUGAUGCCGGUGUUCGAGGAGGACGAGGAGGAUGAAGAGGACGAAGAGGACAGUGAUUGGUUUAGAGAGGAGGAGGAAGAUGCAAAAGAAACUUGUGCUGAGGUAAAACUCUGCAGUCAGAGGUUUAAACAGCAGAAGUAA
ensembl:lncRNA